rnacentral:rRNA from 1 species
UACAGGGGGGGCAAGCGUUGUUCGGAAUUACUGGGCGUAAAGGGCUCGUAGGCGGUUUGUCACGUCGGGAGUGAAAACUCAGGGCUCAACCCUGAGCGUGCUUCCGAUACGGGCAGACUAGAGGUAUGCAGGGGAGAACGGAAUUCCUGGUGUAGCGGUGGAAUGCGCAGAUAUCAGGAGGAACACCAACGGCGAAGGCAGCUCGCUAGGACGGUACUGACGCUGAGACGCGAAAGCGUGGGGAGCGAACAGG